rnacentral:rRNA from 1 species
ACUCCUACGGGAGGCAGCAGUGGGGAAUCUUCCGCAAUGGGCGAAAGCCUGACGGAGCGACGCCGCGUGGGGGACGAAGGCCUUCGGGUCGUAAACCCCUGUCAGAGGGAAAGAAGGGUGUCGGCGUAAAUAGCGCCGGUAUUUGACGGUACCCUCAGAGGAAGCCACGGCCAACUCCGUGCCAGCAGCCGCGGUAAU